CCCCGGCCGUGACCUUCGGAUGACCCCGGCCCGGCUGCCCUCGGCUAGAAAGGGCGGGAACGCUGAGGGGGAUUGGAGAGCGAGCGGCGGGAAGCAAAGCGCGCGAAGCGACGGCGGCGUUCGGGGCUCCUAUUGGCUGGCGGGCUGAAUGCCCAUAUAAGGUGCGCGCGCGGGCAGGUGAGAGAGACGCUUUCCACAGCGCGUGAGGAGAAGCGGGGUGCUGUGAGGGAAAGGCGGCGGCGGAGGCGGCGUCGAUGGCGGCCACGGAGCCGCUGCCAGAGGCAGGAACAAGCAAGAGGAUGCGGAAGCGUGCCGACGCGGGGGGGAAGGAGAGAGGCUCCCUGGGCAAAGCAGCCGUCCCGUUAGCGGGGCCGCAGUCACAUUCAGUCCCAUUGGAGUUUGAGCGUUGCCGGCGCCUUGGCCGGCUUUGUGCUGGGCGACCUCCCUGUAAGCAGGGCUCGGGUCUUUGCUUUUGCUGUAGUUGGCCUUUUGCCUUGCUGCUCCUUUGGCUGCCUGGGGAGCGUGGGCCCCUGUAACGCAGGGCGAGAGCCACCUCUCCGCACCUGAGUGGGAAACGGAGCUCGCCGGACCCCGAGGCCACCCUGUAAGCAGGGUAGUGCCGUUUCCCCGGCCCUCUUCCUCCUCCGGCCCCUCGGCAUCAUCGUUGCCUGGAGGUGGCCUGUCAGUGCGACGGCCCCGUACUCGGGGUGUGCGUCACGGCAUCUGGCCUUUGGCUUUAGCUGGGAAGCCCCUUGGCACGUUGAGGUCUGUGGCCUCCGUGCAGGCUAGGGACAGGUCACAGGCUCUUGUCUGUUGCCCGCGGUUGUGGGUUUAUUCCCAGGGUUUGGCUGCGCUGGGUUGUCCUUCCCUUUGGGAAAGUCGCCUCUGUGUGUGCGCGUUGCCCUUCCUUUCCUUGCUUGUGUUUGUGGAGUGAGAGAGCGACUGCGCUUUCCCUUUAGGCCCCCACAAAGAUGGCUGCAGCUUAGCUUCGACUUCCCUGGGGGGAACGGAGGACUGUGGUGCACGCCGCAAAAGGGGUGUUCCCUCUCAGUCCCGCGAGCGCAGCGA